CCUACGGGAGGCAGCAGUAGGGAAUUUUGCGCAAUGGGCGAAAGCCUGACGCAGCAACACCGCGUGAAUGUUAAGCCCUUCGGGGUGUAAAGUUCUGUCAAUAGGGACGAAUUUUGACUGUACCUAUAAAGGAAGCACCGGCUAACUCCGUGCCAGCAGCCGCGGUAAUACGGGGGGUGCAAGCGUUGUCCGGAAUCAUUGGGCGUAAAGCGUUCGUAGGCGGCAAGGUAAGUCUGAUGUUAAAGCCCGGGGCUCAACCCCGGCGAGCCGUUGAAACUGGCUGUCUUGAGAUGUCGAGAGGUAUGCGGAAUGCGCAGUGUAGCGGUGAAAUGCUUAGAUAUUGCGCAGAACUCCGAUUGCGAAGGCAGCAUACCGGCGGCGAUCUGACGCUGAGGCACGAAAGCGUGGGUAUCGAACAGGAUUAGAUACCCUGGUAGUC
rnacentral:rRNA from 1 species